GACGUAGGGAGCAAGCGUUGUCCGGAAUCAUUGGGCGUAAAGCGCGCGUAGGCGGCCCUGUAAGUCCGUUGUGAAAGUCAAAGGCUCAACCUUUGAAAGCCGAUGGAUACUGCAGGGCUAGAGUCCGGAAGAGGCGAGUGGAAUUCCUGGUGUAGCGGUGGAAUGCGCAGAUAUCAGGAGGAACACCAAUAGCGAAGGCAGCUCGCUGGGACGGUACUGACGCUAAGGUGCGAAAGCGUGGGGAGCAAACAGG
rnacentral:rRNA from 1 species